rnacentral:rRNA from 1 species
GUCCACGCUGUAAACGAUGAAUACUAGGUGUGCGGGGGACUGACCCCCUGCGUGCCGCAGCUAACGCAAUAAGUAUUCCACCUGGGGAGUACGAUCGCAAGGUUGAAACUCAAAAGGAAUUGACGGGGGCCCGCACAAGCGGUGGAUUAUGUGGUUUUAAUUCGAAGCAACGCGAAGAACCUUACCAGGGCUUGACAUCCUACUAACGAAGUAGAGAUACAUCAGGUGCCCUUCGGGGAAAGUAGAGACAGGUGGUGCAUGGUUGUCGU